rnacentral:tRNA from 1 species
GCGUCCAGUUGGCGUACGGCGAAUUCCUGCGCCGCCAGCAGCGGCGCGUAGACGCCCGCGGCCAGCUCCGGGCCGCCCUGGACACG